rnacentral:lncRNA from 1 species
GGUGUCAUUAGAUUUUGGAAGAAGGGCAAGGUAGGGCCCCGGUUUAUUGGCCCAUUUAGGAUUUUUGUGCCGGUGGGCAAGGUAGCCUAUCGAUUGGAUCUAUCAGUCAAGUUUAGUCAGAUCACAACACCUUCCACGAGUCUCAGCUUUGGAAGUGUGUCACCCAUGAGGUCGCAUUCAUUUCCUUGGAUGAUAUAAAGGUUGAUGAGAGCCUGAAUUACGUGGAGAGACCAAUAGUGAUUUUAGACCGGAAAACGAAAGUGCUAUGGAAUAUGGAAGUGGGGCUAGUUAAGGUACAAUAGCAGCACCGAAGGGGCACCGAAUGGACCUGGGAGCCGGAGGAUGAGAUAAGGAAGCAUUACCCGGAUCUUUUUGCAUCAGAAGACUUCGAGGAAGAACUCUAGUUCAAGUGGGGGAUAUUUGUAAUGCUUGGUCCAGGUAUUAUUUAUUUCUCAACAUUUUGGGGUUCUGGGCUGGAACUUGAUGAAUUGGGGAGCUCCAACUCAUCGUGUAGGAAUCUNGCCUAUCGGGAUAUUACCAGAGAUUUAUUCAGGACUUCUCCAAGAUUGUGGUACCUUUGACUCGCUUGACAAAGAAGAAUGUGACAUUUUAGUGGGGCCCAGAUUAACAGUCGACUUUCGAUACCUUGAGACAGAGACUAUAUGAGGCCCCGAUUUUAGCACUACCUGAGGGGUUGGAUCAUUUGGUGGUGUAUUGUGAUGUGUCUAUCACAUGGUUAGGUGUUGUUUUGAUGCAGAGGGGGCAUGUGAUCGCGUACGCCUCGAGGCAGAUGAAGCCUCAUGAGGCGAACUUCCCCACUCAUGACCUGGAAUUGGGAGCGGUGGUGUUUACCCUUAAAAUCUGGAGGCAAUACUUCUAUGGAGUUCGGUGCACCGUCUGUACUGGCCACAAAAGUUUGAAGUAUUUGAUGGAUUAGCAAAACCUUAACAUGCGGCAAAGGAGAUGGUUGUAUGUACUAAAAGAUUACAAUUGUCAGAUUUUGUACCAUCCAGGGAAGGCCGACGUAGUUGUUGAUGCUUUGAGCCGCAAGGCGGCAAGUCCUCCAAUUGGUAACGUUUGUUUGAGGAUGACAGUGAUUUCUCCAUUGUUGGAUAUGAUCAAGGAAGCUCAGGUGGAGGGUUUAAAAUGAAACUGGAAGAUAGAGUGGUUCCGGGGUUAGAUUCCUUUGUUUGUUCGGGAUGGUCGGGGCCUUUUGACACAGUGUGGUCGGGUGUGGGUACCAGUAUCUAGGGGAGUGAGGCAAAAGAUCUUGUAGGAGGCGCACAAGUCCAAGUUCUCAAUUCAUCUGGGGGCCACGAUGAUGUAGAAAGGUUUGUGGCUGAGUUACUGGUGGCCCUUCAUGAAAUAGGAGAUCGCAUGGUUAGUUGAGCGGUGCUUGACAUGUAGGAAGGUCAAGGCCGAACAUCAAAGGCCCAACAGAAAAGUUCAAACGCUACCCAUUCCCAUGUGGAAAUGGGAAGAGAUCACCAUGGCAUUCAUCACGAAGUACCCGAGGACCGCAAGGGGCGUUGACUCCAUUUGGGUCAUUGUGGAUAGAUUGACGAAAAUUGCCCAUUUUAUACUGAUCCCCAAUAGUAUUUCUACUGGGAAAUUAGCAGAUAUCUAUGUACGAGAGGUGGUGGUCAGGAACAGAGUGCCAAUAUUGGUGGUCUCGGACCGUGAUGUUCGAUUCACCUUGAGAUUCUGGAGGAAGUUCCACGAGGAACUGGGCACAUAGUUACACUUCAGCACUGUGUACCACCCCCAGAUAGACGGCCAGAGCGAGCGGACGAUCCAGACACUCGAGGAUAUGCUAUGAGCAUCCGUAUUGGAUUUUGGAGGGAUUUAGGAUACACACCUCCUACUAGCAGAGUUUUCAUAUAACAAUAGUUAUCAUACUAGUAUUGACCGACCCACGUUUGAGAUGUUGUAUGGACGAAGGUGUAAGACUCAUGUAUGUUGGGGCAAGGUAGGGCAUCGAGUCAUGGGCAGCACCGAGGUGUUUCUCAAGGCUACCGAGUUGAUCCAGCAGGUUCGCGAUUGGCUACGAGACGCACAGAUCCGUCAGAAAUGUAAUGCUGACCGGCAUCGCUCGGAUCUCGAGUUUCAAGUGGGAGCUUUUGUUUUGCUGAAAGUGUCGCUUUGGAAGGGUGUCAUUAGAUUUUGGAAGAAGGGCAAGGUAGGGCCCCGGUUUAUUGGCCCAUUUAGGAUUUUUGUGCCGGUGGGCAAGGUAGCCUAUCGAUUGGAUCUAUCAGUCAAGUUUAGUCAGAUCACAACACCUUCCACGAGUCUCAGCUUUGGAAGUGUGUCACCCAUGAGGUCGCAUUCAUUUCCUUGGAUGAUAUAAAGGUUG